rnacentral:rRNA from 1 species
GGGUUGUGAGGUUAAGCGACUAAGCGUACACGGUGGAUGCCCUGGCAGUCAGAGGCGAUGAAGGACGUGCUAAUCUGCGAUAAGCGUCGGUAAGGUGAUAUGAACCGUUAUAACCGGCGAUUUCCGAAUGGGGAAACCCAGUGUGUUUCGACACACUAUCAUUAACUGAAUCCAUAGGUUAAUGAGGCGAACCGGGGGAACUGAAACAUCUAAGUACCCCGAGGAAAAGAAAUCAACCGAGAUUCCCCCAGUAGCGGCGAGCGAACGGGGAGCAGCCCAGAGCCUGAAUCAGUGUGUGUGUUAGUGGAAGCGUCUGGAAAGGCGCGCGAUACAGGGUGACAGCCCCGUACACAAAAAUGCACAUGCUGUGAGCUCGAUGAGUAGGGCGGGACACGUGGUAUCCUGUCUGAAUAUGGGGGGACCAUCCUCCAAGGCUAAAUACUCCUGACUGACCGAUAGUGAACCAGUACCGUGAGGGAAAGGCGAAAAGAACCCCGGCGAGGGGAGUGAAAAAGAACCUGAAACCGUGUACGUACAAGCAGUGGGAGCACGCUUCGGCGUGUGACUGCGUACCUUUUGUAUAAUGGGUCAGCGACUUAUAUUCUGUAGCAAGGUUAACCGAAUAGGGGAGCCGAAGGGAAACCGAGUCUUAACUGGGCGUUAAGUUGCAGGGUAUAGACCCGAAACCCGGUGAUCUAGCCAUGGGCAGGUUGAAGGUUGGGUAACACUAACUGGAGGACCGAACCGACUAAUGUUGAAAAAUUAGCGGAUGACUUGUGGCUGGGGGUGAAAGGCCAAUCAAACCGGGAGAUAGCUGGUUCUCCCCGAAAGCUAUUUAGGUAGCGCCUCGUGAAUUCAUCUCCGGGGGUAGAGCACUGUUUCGGCAAGGGGGUCAUCCCGACUUACCAACCCGAUGCAAACUGCGAAUACCGGAGAAUGUUAUCACGGGAGACACACGGCGGGUGCUAACGUCCGUCGUGAAGAGGGAAACAACCCAGACCGCCAGCUAAGGUCCCAAAGUCAUGGUUAAGUGGGAAACGAUGUGGGAAGGCCCAGACAGCCAGGAUGUUGGCUUAGAAGCAGCCAUCAUUUAAAGAAAGCGUAAUAGCUCACUGGUCGAGUCGGCCUGCGCGGAAGAUGUAACGGGGCUAAACCAUGCACCGAAGCUGCGGCAGCGACGCUGAUGCGUUGUUGGGUAGGGGAGCGUUCUGUAAGCCUGCGAAGGUGUGCUGUGAGGCAUGCUGGAGGUAUCAGAAGUGCGAAUGCUGACAUAAGUAACGAUAAAGCGGGUGAAAAGCCCGCUCGCCGGAAGACCAAGGGUUCCUGUCCAACGUUAAUCGGGGCAGGGUGAGUCGACCCCUAAGGCGAGGCCGAAAGGCGUAGUCGAUGGGAAACAGGUUAAUAUUCCUGUACUUGGUGUUACUGCGAAGGGGGGACGGAGAAGGCUAUGUUGGCCGGGCGACGGUUGUCCCGGUUUAAGCGUGUAGGCUGGUUUUCCAGGCAAAUCCGGAAAAUCAAGGCUGAGGCGUGAUGACGAGGCACUACGGUGCUGAAGCAACAAAUGCCCUGCUUCCAGGAAAAGCCUCUAAGCAUCAGGUAACAUCAAAUCGUACCCCAAACCGACACAGGUGGUCAGGUAGAGAAUACCAAGGCGCUUGAGAGAACUCGGGUGAAGGAACUAGGCAAAAUGGUGCCGUAACUUCGGGAGAAGGCACGCUGAUAUGUAGGUGAGGUCCCUCGCGGAUGGAGCUGAAAUCAGUCGAAGAUACCAGCUGGCUGCAACUGUUUAUUAAAAACACAGCACUGUGCAAACACGAAAGUGGACGUAUACGGUGUGACGCCUGCCCGGUGCCGGAAGGUUAAUUGAUGGGGUCAGCGCAAGCGAAGCUCUUGAUCGAAGCCCCGGUAAACGGCGGCCGUAACUAUAACGGUCCUAAGGUAGCGAAAUUCCUUGUCGGGUAAGUUCCGACCUGCACGAAUGGCGUAAUGAUGGCCAGGCUGUCUCCACCCGAGACUCAGUGAAAUUGAACUCGCUGUGAAGAUGCAGUGUACCCGCGGCAAGACGGAAAGACCCCGUGAACCUUUACUAUAGCUUGACACUGAACAUUGAGCCUUGAUGUGUAGGAUAGGUGGGAGGCUUUGAAGUGUGGACGCCAGUCUGCAUGGAGCCGACCUUGAAAUACCACCCUUUAAUGUUUGAUGUUCUAACGUUGACCCGUAAUCCGGGUUGCGGACAGUGUCUGGUGGGUAGUUUGACUGGGGCGGUCUCCUCCUAAAGAGUAACGGAGGAGCACGAAGGUUGGCUAAUCCUGGUCGGACAUCAGGAGGUUAGUGCAAUGGCAUAAGCCAGCUUGACUGCGAGCGUGACGGCGCGAGCAGGUGCGAAAGCAGGUCAUAGUGAUCCGGUGGUUCUGAAUGGAAGGGCCAUCGCUCAACGGAUAAAAGGUACUCCGGGGAUAACAGGCUGAUACCGCCCAAGAGUUCAUAUCGACGGCGGUGUUUGGCACCUCGAUGUCGGCUCAUCACAUCCUGGGGCUGAAGUAGGUCCCAAGGGUAUGGCUGUUCGCCAUUUAAAGUGGUACGCGAGCUGGGUUUAGAACGUCGUGAGACAGUUCGGUCCCUAUCUGCCGUGGGCGCUGGAGAACUGAGGGGGGCUGCUCCUAGUACGAGAGGACCGGAGUGGACGCAUCACUGGUGUUCGGGUUGUCAUGCCAAUGGCACUGCCCGGUAGCUAAAUGCGGAAGAGAUAAGUGCUGAAAGCAUCUAAGCACGAAACUUGCCCCGAGAUGAGUUCUCCCUGACCCUUUAAGGGUCCUGAAGGAACGUUGAAGACGACGACGUUGAUAGGCCGGGUGUGUAAGCGCAGCGAUGCGUUGAGCUAACCGGUACUAAUGAACCGUGAGGCUUAACCUUACAACGCCGAAGCUGUU